GAGUUUGAUCCUGGCUCAGGAUGAACGCUGGCGGCGUGCCUAAUACAUGCAAGUCGAGCGAACAGAUAAGGAGCUUGCUCCUUUGAAGUUAGCGGCGGACGGGUGAGUAACACGUGGGUAACCUACCUAUAAGACUGGGAUAACUUCGGGAAACCGGAGCUAAUACCGGAUAAUAUUUAGAACCGCAUGGUUCUAAAGUGAAAGAUGGUUUUGCUAUCACUUAUAGAUGGACCCGCGCCGUAUUAGCUAGUUGGUAAGGUAACGGCUUACCAAGGCGACGAUACGUAGCCGACCUGAGAGGGUGAUCGGCCACACUGGAACUGAGACACGGUCCAGACUCCUACGGGAGGCAGCAGUAGGGAAUCUUCCGCAAUGGGCGAAAGCCUGACGGAGCAACGCCGCGUGAGUGAUGAAGGGUUUCGGCUCGUAAAACUCUGUUAUUAGGGAAGAACAAAUGUGUAAGUAACUGUGCACGUCUUGACGGUACCUAAUCAGAAAGCCACGGCUAACUACGUGCCAGCAGCCGCGGUAAUACGUA
rnacentral:rRNA from 1 species